rnacentral:rRNA from 1 species
GACGAACGCUGGCGGCGUGCUUAACACAUGCAAGUCGAACGGAAAGGCCCUGCUUUUGUGGGUGCUCGAGUGGCGAACGGGUGAGUAACACGUGAGUAACCUGCCCUUGACUUUGGGAUAACUUCAGGAAACUGGGGCUAAUACCGGAUAGGAGCUCCUGCUGCAUGGUGGGGGUUGGAAAGUUUCGGCGGUUGGGGAUGGACUCGCGGCUUAUCAGCUUGUUGGUGGGGUAGGGGCUUACCAAGGCUUUGACGGGUAGCCGGCCUGAGAGGGUGACCGGCCACAUUGGGACUGAGAUACGGCCCAGACUCCUACGGGAGGCAGCAGUGGGGAAUAUUGCACAAUGGGCGGAAGCCUGAUGCAGCAACGCCGCGUGCGGGAUGACGGCCUUCGGGUUGUAAACCGCUUUCGCCUGUGACGAAGCGUGAGUGACGGUAAUGGGUAAAGAAGCACCGGCUAACUACGUG